rnacentral:snRNA from 10 species
AAGGGAGGAGCCUAGCGUCAGGCUGUCAAUAAAGCUUGCGAGGUCAAGACCAAUGGCCAGGGCAGGAUUGAAGUAAGCUCCUGAAAUAUGACCAACGGAAUAG